AUGUGAUCCGCCCCGGCGAAGGCCGGGGCCCAGUUACGAUCGGCCCACGGCUGGACCCCGGCCUUCGCCGGGGUGGAAAGUGGGA
rnacentral:pre_miRNA from 2 species